rnacentral:rRNA from 1 species
CAGUAGCCGCGGUAAUACGAAGGGUGCAAGCGUUAAUCGGAAUUACUGGGCGUAAAGCGUGCGUGGGCGGUUUGUUAAGUCUGCUGUGAAAUCCCCGGGCUCAACCUGGGAAUGGCAGUGGAUACUGGCAAGCUAGAGUGUGUCAGAGGAUGGUGGAAUUCCCGGUGUAGCGGUGAAAUGCGUAGAGAUCGGGAGGAACAUCAGUGGCGAAGGCGGCCAUCUGGGACAACACUGACGCUGAGGCACGAAAGCGUGGGGAGCAAACAGGAUUAGAUACCCCCGUAGUCCCUGUCUCUUAUAC